rnacentral:misc_RNA from 1 species
UGUGGGAGCUGGCUUGCCUGCGAUGGCGGUGUGUCAGCCAACUUAUGUGUGGCUGACACACCGCCAUCGCAGGCAAGCCAGCUCCCACA